GGUUUUUGAAAAGGGAACACACGUUCGUUGGCGGAAGUCAGAAGUGCGUUGCUCGGGGCACGGAAAUAAAUGCACUGAGGAACCAAGUUCCGAUCAGCGCGUCCCAGGAAGGUAGGACUUAUUUGUGUGGGAAUGUAAUUGCCCCUCCGACCCGCCACCACCCGAAUCCCACCCCUCCCGUCGUCGACUCCGGCACUCGUCCGACACCUCCCUCCCUCCUGCCCUCCCUCCCCCCAAUGAUAGAAGCUGAUUCAGCGAGUCAGGCGUGCACCCUGCACACACCAUGGCUGCAGCAGCUGGAGCGCUCUCUAGGUCAUUAUGGCUCUCUUCACGAAAGCGUCACAAAAAAGGAGGAGGACAGGGAGAGAUGCUGUGAUAAGAAGCUCAUCUGACAGGUCGGCGCCGCCUCGUUGCAGCACCUCAAUGACAGAGCCCUCGUCUCCAAAGGCUGCGUGGUGCACCGCCCGAUCCCCAUCUUUGUCCUGCGUAUGGUGCAUCAGUGAUGAGAUCUACGUUGUGCUUGAGUAGCAGCUUCAAGACAUCCACGUGUCCAUUUUGACUGGCCGCCUGCAUAGCCGUGUGUCCAGCACACUGCCCGUUCACCUGUGAGAACAGUCAGAUGUCAUCAUCACGAUCUCCAUUGGCUGCAGCCUUGACCAACUCCUCGUUGAUGUCACCGGACUCCUGUGUCUCAAACAACUUCUUCAGCAGCUGGGACAGACGCUCUGGGAAAAACAGAAAGAAGAAAAACAUCAUGAUAGGAUUGUGUGCCAUCAUCAUGAAGGCAGCGGUGGGGGUGGUGCAAACCUCCCGAGGCGUUGCUGACAGCGGACCCCGAGGGAGCGAUCUUAGUGACGGCAGCGGGAUUGUACGUCCACGACGUCCCACAAACCUCAACCUUCAGGUCACUGUCAGAGUAGAUCUGCUGCACGCGGCCCACCUUCCCAAGGGUCUGUUGAUAAAUCAUGCCAUAAACUCAUUAGAAUAAAAGUUUUCAUAGGGGUACAGUAUACGUUCUAUAUUCAUAUACACACAAAGAGGUUAAAACAUGUCAAAAUAGAGGCACAAGGAUAAGCUGAGAAGAACUGUCCUUCACAGCCGAAAGACAAAGCUCGAAGCAAAAAAAACAAAGUGAUAAAUGACACAAAAAAAACAAUUCCAUUUUAGUGAUUGAAAAUGAAUGUAAAGAAAGAGACACAUCUCAACUUGCUACGCGAUCCAUUAUCUCUAUAGCAGAGCCUCCACAGGGACAACUAACUAGUCCUUCCAUUCAUCCAUUUUCUUCCGCUUAUCCGAAGUCAGGUCGCGGGGGCAGCAGCCUAAGCAGGGAAGCCCAGACUUCCCUUUCCCCAGCCCCUUCGUCUAGCUCUUCCCAGGGGAUCCUGAGGCGUUCCCAGGCCAGCCGGGAGACAUAGUCUUCCCAACGUGUCCUGGGUCUUCCCUGUGGCCUCCAAUUGGUUGGACGUGCCCUAUACACCUCCCUAGUCAGGCGUUCGGGUGGCAUCCUGACCAAAUGUCCGAACCACCUCAUCUGGCUCCUCUCGAUGUGGAGGAGCAGCGGCUUUACUUUGAGUUCCUCCCGGAUGGCAGAGCUUCUCACCCUAUCUCUAAGGGAGAGCCCCGCCUCACGGCAGAGGAAACUCAUUUCAGCCGCUUCUACCCGUGAUUUUGUCCUUUCGGUCAUGACCCAAAGCUUAUGACCAUAGGUGAGGAUGGGAACGUAAAUCGACUGGUAAAUUGAGAGAUAUGCCUUCCGGCUCAGCUCCUUCUUCACCACAACGGAUUGAUACAGCGUCCGCAUUACUGAAGACGCCGCACCGAUCCACCUGUCGAUCUCACGAUCCACUUUUCCCCCACUCAUGAACAAGACUCCUCGGUACUUCAACUCCUCCACUUGGGGCAGGCUCUCCUCCCCAACCCGGAUAUGGCACUCCACCCUUUUCCGGGCGAGAACCAUGGACUCGGACUUGGAGGUGCUGAUUCUCAUCCUGGUCGCUUCAUAGUCUGCUGCGAACCGAUCCAGUGAGAGCUGAAGAUCCCGGCCAGAUGAAGCCAUCAGGACCACAAUAUCUGCAAAAAGCAGAGACCUAAUCCCGCGGCCAACAAACCGGAACCCCUCAACGCCUUGACUGCGCCUAGAAAUUCUGUCCAUAAAAGUUAUAAACAGAAUCCGUAACAAAGGACAGCUUUGGCGGAGUCCAACCCUCACAGGAAAUGUGUCCGAUUUACUGCCGGCAAUGCGGACCAAGCUCUGACACUGAUCGUACAGGGAGCGGACCGCCACAAUAAGACAGUCCGAUACCCUAUACUCUCUGAGCACUCCCCACAGGACUUCCCGAGGGACACGGUCGAAUGCCUUCUCCAAGUCCACAAAGCACAUGUAGACUGGUUGGGCAAACUCCCAUGCACCCUCAAGAACCCUGCCGAGAGUCCACAUCUACACGACCAGGACGAAAACCACACUGCUUCAGCCGAAUCCGAGGCUCGACCAUCCGGCGUAACCUCCUCCCCAGUACACCUGAAUAAACCUUACCGUGAAGGCUAACAACAAAUUAGUGAAAAAUAAUAAUAAUAAUGUCUUAAUCCGGAUUACUUCAAAGUUCUAACGCUUUAGAGUUUGUCAAGAUUCAUGUAGGGGCCAGUUCAUUAGUCAGAGAUGCUCGGUCCAUUAUGGCAGCAACGGGUGAGAUCUUGGAGUGAAUUGGUCGAACAUUAUUUUAAUUACGCGUGACAGCAGUGAAUACUCUUCAUAAGUUACAGAUACUGUUCAUAGUUGUUUAAAGAAAAAUAACCACACGUCUUGGAAGUAAAACAAAGAGCUUGAAGGACGGCUUGCAUGCGCAGAUAAACAUCCCAAUUCAAUUAACUCCCGAGUCUUCAACAGGUGAAACUCAAAACAUUAGAAAAUCAUGCAACGGUUCGUUUUUUCCUCAAUUACAUUCCCACAGUGAAACUAAUAUAUGACUUAGGCUAAUAAACAUGCAACUCAAGAUAUUUCAAGACUUAUUUUGGUAUAGUUGUGAUGAUCCAGCUGAUAAGAACCUCAAAUUGAAAAUUUCAGAAAAUUUGGUGUUUUCAGAAACUGUCAACUAUGAUCAUCAAAUUGAUCAAAAAUUAAAUCUUGACAUAUACAACUUUUUAUGUAAUGAAUUUAUGUCACAUUAAUUUCACAUUUGAAGUU